rnacentral:lncRNA from 10 species
GGAGGCCGAGGCGGAUCGCAUGAGGUCAGGAGUGAAGAGACCAGCCUGCCCAAUAUGGCAAAACCCCGUCUCUACUAAAAAUACAAAAAAUUAGCUGGGUGUGCUGGCGGGCGCCUGUAAUCCCAGCUACUCAGGAGGCUGAGGCAGGAGAAUCGCUUGAACCCGGGAGGCGGAGGUGGCAGUGAGCCGAGAUCGUGCCACUGCACUCCAGCCUGAGCGACAAGAGCAAAACUCCGUCUCAAAAAACAGAAACAAAAACAAAAAAAAAGCCUGCCUUUCCAUUCCUUGUGGCUAUGUUAGAUACUAAAGAAGGCUUCCCCACAACCCAUAUGCAUCUGCUUUGACUGGUGGUUUCUAUCAUCCUACAAAGACUGUGACUUAUUGGUGAGGGCAGCUGGACAACUCUGAGAGCAACUUAGAGAAAUCCAUCUUGGGCACACUCUAUAAAGGAGCUCCUUCUCUGCAAAUAGCACCCCAGAUAAGUGCACAAAAGCAAGAUACCCUCGUGGACCUACACGUCCUCCCGCUUUUCAACACCCUGAUGCCUGAAGCUAUGGUUGAUACUAAAGGAGGUUUUCCCACUAUCCGUAUGCAUCUUCUCUGUUUUGAGAUUGCAACUAUGGACAGUUAUGGCUAAUCCUAGUAGAUUGUCUUCCCUUUUAACAUCUUGGAUGAAUUUGGGUCACACUAAUUGUUAUGUGAAGAUGGAUGUUGAAUUGUGUAGAAUUUGACAGCAGUAUCAAGAGCUGAGGAGAAGGAGAAGAUGGAAAGGAGUCUAGCAACUUAAAAAUCUCACAGCAUUCUCUGUGAGGUGACCUUUUUUCCUGUUGGUGGCUCAAUUUCUUUAGGACAUAAAGAAGAUACUGAGGCCUGUGACAGCCUGUGACAGUAUCAUCAAGUCGUAUCUGAACUUAUUGAACUGUUUCCUCCCCUUCCUUAUUCUUUAUUCACAGUUUGCUUUUCAUGUGCAUAAGUUGACUCAUUUGUUUCCUGUUAGCAUUUGAAACACCAUAUAGCCACCAUAAGUCCUGACAAAAUGACUUUUAAUAAGGAGGGGGAAGGUCCAUGUCCCACCUUCCUAUGAAAUUUUGGCCUAUUCACAAGUCUACCCCCACAUAAGAGAAGUAGUUAUGUUCUGUAAAGAAGAGGUUGAUAAAAACCUUUAGCAUGGUGUUUUGUGACUUAGAAGUUUUAAGUAGUCGUUCUUAUAUCUAAGCAUUUAUUAAUUUUGGUAAGAACAUUACUAUACGUUUCUGAUGUCACUUUUACUGUUAAGAGGUGCCAGGCAUCUGGUGACCUGUCACUUCAGGAUUUGUGUGAAUCAGACCAUCUAAAUAUAAUAUAAAUUAGAGACUGGUACUUGUAUUUCCUGAUUAAAAACAAAGUAACGUCUGUUUUACUAUUGAAGUAAGAGUACUUUAUAAUGAAUACAAAAAUGUAUAUUAAAUAUCCAGUAGAGCAUGC